rnacentral:rRNA from 1 species
UACGGAAGGCAGCAGUGGGGAAUAUUGCACAAUGGGCGAAAGCCUGAUGCAGCUAUGCCGCGUGUAUGAAGAAGGCCUUAGGGUUGUAAAGUACUUUCAUCGGGGAGGAAAAAACAAAACUAAUAAUUUUAUUUCUUGACGUUACCCGAAAAAGAAGCACCGGCUAACUCCGUGCCAGCAGCCGCGGUAAUACGGAGGGUGCUAGCGUUAAUCAGAAUUACUGGGCGUAAAGAGCACGUAGGUGGUUUUUUUAAGUCAGAUGUGAAAUCCCUGGGCUUAACCUAGGAACUGCAUUUUGAAACUGAAAUACUAGAGUAUCGUAGAGGGAGGUAGAAUUCUAGGUGUAGCGGUGAAAUGCGUAGAUAUCUGGAGGAAUACCUGUGGCGAAAGCGGCCUCCUAAACGAAUACUGACACUGAGGUGCGAAAGCGUGGGGAGCAAACGAGGGAUUAGGAU